CCUACGGGCGGCAGCAGUAGGGAAUAUUGCUCAAUGGGGGAAACCCUGAAGCAGCAACGCCGCGUGGAGGAUGAAGGUUUUCGGAUUGUAAACUCCUUUUGUUAGAGAAGAUAAUGACGGUAUCUAACGAAUAAGCACCGGCUAACUCCGUGCCAGCAGCCGCGGUAAUACGGAGGGUGCAAGCGUUACUCGGAAUCACUGGGCGUAAGGAGCGCGUAGGCGGGAUAGCAAGUCAGAUGUGAAAUCCUAUGGCUUAACCAUAGAACUGCAUUUGAAACUGUUAUUCUAGAGUAUGGGAGAGGUAAGUGGAAUUCUUGGUGUAGGGGUAAAAUCCGUAGAGAUCAAGAGGAAUACUCAUUGCGAAGGCGACCUGCUAGAACAUAACUGACGCUGAUGCGCGAAAGCGUGGGGAGCAAACAGGAUUAGAUACCCCAGUAGUC
rnacentral:rRNA from 1 species